UUUCCAAAUGUACAAAGUAUGAUUGAGUUAUUAAGCUCUAAAUGUUUCAAUGAAAUGCAAAUUGUUUAUUUAAUGUAAUGAAAACUGUUUAUCCAAUAAAAUGUUUAUGUGCACUCUGCUCUGUUUAAGGCUCGCGCAGUUAAUCAAUUGAGAUUCUCUUAUGACCUAAUACGUUGUUUGAGAAUUGUGUACACUUGUUAGUUGACUCGGUGGGUUGAUCUCCAUCGGGCUCUAACCAGAGGCGUUAUAAGGGUGCUCGGCUGGAUGUGUUCCGGAGCAUGAGAAAUAUCAGGCCUGCCUGGGUAGCGUCCCGAGGUCAAUUCAACUUGUCUGAGUUACGUCCUCAGGGCAAGUGUCAGCGGGAGACAGAGAUCCGUCGGUGGCUAGAGGUCCGGGAUCACAGCGAGUAACAGAAAGGGAGUGUGACAUGUGCGCACAAAUGAAAGAAAAUGUUUUAACAUGCUUAGAAGUUGGCUGGCCGGUGCUGACGGGACGGAGCUGAGGCUAGCGAUAAAUUCCUAUGAUAGACUUCCGCUGUAGCAAUUACUCAUAUCAGUCUUUUGUUUUCCCAACUUAAGAUCUUCAUGUUAAAUUUCAAAUGAUAUACCUGACCGAGCUUAGACUCUUCACUACUUAAUUUAUGCCAAUGAAUGUCGGUUGUUAGAAGCAUGAAACAAAACUUGUGAUCCAAAGGGGCAUAGCCCGACUUUCUAUCCUAUUUCGGGUUUUUACAAGGUUGUUCCUUGUUUAUUUAUA